GUGCUCACUUCAGCAGCCCAUAUACUAAAAUAGGAAUGAUACAGAGAUUAGCAUGGCCCCUAUGCAAGGAUGACAUGCAAAUUCGUGAAGUGUUCCAUAUUUUU
rnacentral:snRNA from 1 species